rnacentral:rRNA from 1 species
GAGUUUGAUCAUGGCUCAGAUUGAACGCUGGCGGCAUGCCUUACACAUGCAAGUCGAGCGGCAGCGCGGGGGCAACCCUGGCGGCGAGCGGCGAACGGGUGAGUAAUGCAUCGGAACGUGUCCUCUUGUGGGGGAUAACCAGUCGAAAGACUGGCUAAUACCGCAUGAGAUCGAGAGAUGAAAGCAGGGGACCGCAAGGCCUUGCGCGAGAGGAGCGGCCGAUGCCGGAUUAGCUAGUUGGUGGGGUAAAGGCCUACCAAGGCGACGAUCCGUAGCUGGUCUGAGAGGACGACCAGCCACACUGGGACUGAGACACGGCCCAGACUCCUACGGGAGGCAGCAGUGGGGAAUUUUGGACAAUGGGGGCAACCCUGAUCCAGCCAUGCCGCGUGUGUGAAGAAGGCCUCGGUUGUAAG